rnacentral:rRNA from 1 species
UACAGAGACUGCAAGCGUUAUUCGGAUUUACUGGGCGUAAAGGGCGCGUAGGCGGCCAGCACAAGUCAGUUGUGAAAUCUCCGGGCUUAACUCGGAAAGGUCAACUGAUACUGUGCGGCUAGAGUGCAGAAGGGGCAACUGGAAUUCUCGGUGUAGCGGUGAAAUGCGUAGAUAUCGAGAGGAACACCUGCGGCGAAGGCGGGUUGCUGGGCUGACACUGACGCUGAUGCGCGAAAGCCAGGGGAGCGAACGGG